rnacentral:rRNA from 1 species
AGCUCCAAUAGCGUAUAUUAAAGUUGUUGCAGUUAAAACGCUCGUAGUCGGAUUUCGGGGCGGGGCCGCCGGUCUGCCGAUGGGUAUGCACUGGCGGUCGCGUCCUUCCUUCCGGAGACUGGCCCUACUCUUAACUGAGCGGGGUCGGGAGACGGAUCGUUUACUUUGAAAAAAUCAGAGUGUUUCAAGCAGGCAGCUCGCUCUUGCAUGGAUUAGCAUGGGAUAAUGAAAUAGGACUUUGGUGCUAUUUUGUUGGUUUCGAACACCGAAGUAAUGAUUAACAGGGACAGUCAGGGGCACUCGUAUUCCGCCGAGAGAGGUGAAAUUCUCAGACCAGCGGAAGACGAACUACUGCGAAAGCAUUUGCCAGGGAUGUUUUCACUG